rnacentral:rRNA from 1 species
UGGGGAAUCUUGCGCAAUGGGCGAAAGCCUGACGCAGCGACGCCGCGUGAGUGAUGAAGGCCUUCGGGUUGUAAAGCUCUGUGGGGAGAGAAGAGUAAGUGCGGGCUAAUACUCCGCAUGAUGACGGUAUCUCCUUAGCAAGCACCGGCUAACUCUGUGCCAGCAGCCGCGGUAAGACAGAGGGUGCAAACGUUGUUCGGAAUUACUGGGCGUAAAGCGAGUGUAGGCGGUUUGGUAAGUCGGAUGUGAAAGCCCCGGGCUCAACCCGGGAAGUGCACUCGAUACUGCCAAGCUAGAGUAUCGGAGAGGUUGGUGGAAUUCUCGGUGUAGAGGUGAAAUUCGUAGAUAUCGAGAGGAACACCGGUGGCGAAGGCGGCCAACUGGACGAAUACUGACGCUGAGACUCGAAAGCGUGGGGAGCAAACAGGAUUAGAUACCCAAGUAGUCCCUGAGCGGGCUGGCAAGGCGCAU